CUGAGUCUCCCAGCCUACAUCUUUUUUACGUUCUGGAUGCUUCCUUCCCUCGAACAUCAGACUCCAAGCUUGGGGACUAUUGGACCUUUGACCACCAGCUGAAGCCUGCACUGUCAGCUCCCCUACUUUUGAGGUUUUGGAAGUCAGACUGGCUUCCUUGCUCCUCAGCUUACAGCUGGCCUAUUGUGAGACCUCAUCUUGUGAUCGUGGUGGCAAUAAAGAAAGUCAUCACAAACUUCUGAGCACCACUUUUCUAGAGCAAACAGAAAAAAAUUCUGGGUGGCCCCUGCUAUAGGAAUGUGAAACUAGAAGAAUGUGUCCCCAGAGACACCCAGGACUUGUAACAACCAAAAAUAAGGUUUGGCACCAAGCAGUUCUGCUAACUAAGGAGUCUGCUUCAUUAACAAUAAACAUUCUUGCUUCUAUGCAUUGAUUUCUUCCUUCUUUUGGCGAUACAUGGAUACACAACUACAUACUCCCAAGGCAGAUAAAUUUGCCUUGACUUGAACAGGUAACAGAUCUAUGCUGAACUACUGCCAGUUACUCUGCUGCCAGGAAAGACCCACAGAGGGAGUGAGCCAACAAGCCACACCAAGGGAUCCCAAAAGUGGAGACUGAACUCAAUUUAUUUGUAAGUCAUUAUCAUUCAAACAGGUAUCAAUGGCCCUUUAAAACAUGCAAUUGGUGUCACUAUUCCUAGGAAGUGUUAUGACCAAAGCAUACAGGUGGCUUAUUUUUCUCUGCAAGGCUUGGAAGGUUUCCUGAACUUUGUGGGGAGGAAGGUGACCUAACAUACCCUUGCCCUUCUGCUGGGCGUAGUGGUUAUUCUCUGGACUGCAGGCUAACAGCAGCCACCAUUUAUAGGAUGCUGUAUUCUGCACCUUUUUUGUGACAGGAUCUCACUACGUUGCCCAGGCUGGAGUGCACUGUAGUACAGUCAAGAGAUAUUCCCACCUCAGACUCCCAAGUAGCUAGGUCUAUAGGCGUGUCCCUCCAUGUCUGGCUAAUUUUUUUAAUUUUUAGUAGAGAUGGGGGUCUCCUUCUGUACUUGGCACUUUAAAUGGAUUAUCUUGAGGAAGGAGAUAAUCCUCAAGCUUCUAAGAGCGCUUUCCCCUAGACUUCUACAUUGCAUUUCAAUAGGAGAAAUAAAGGCUCGCAGGCCUGGGUGACACCCUUAAUCGCACUCCUAUAGAUCGCAGGCAUGGUAUGGAGGAAUCUUUCUGGAAGGCACUGUUUUUACAUAAACACGAUCACACCCCCACCUAAGUCAUGUACCCCAUGCCUACUUAAUGGAUCAAGACGCUUUCACAUGUAGUUUCUAGAGUUGUAAGCCCAAGACCCUUUCACAUGUAAAUCUAGAGUUGUAAGCCUUUAAAAGGGCAGGUAUUUUCUGUGUUAGGGGAGCUCAGCCGUUAGGUAUCUAUGCUGCUGCAGCUCCCAGCCAAAUAAAACAUCACUUCCUUCCCAGUUUGGUGUCCAAGAGGUUUGUUUCAUGCCCUUUCCUGCUUCAUUAUUUGGUUCCCUGACCGAGAAGUGAGUUUCGGUUGGUGGCCAGCUGACACAGCCUUUCAGGCGGUUUUGCCUUGCCCUGUGAAGCAUCCCUGUGGGGGACUGUAACCCACUUAGGCAACGCAAUUCCUGAGAGUACUACCGGGCAGGUAUUGGGGCCGGUGGAAAGCCUCGCCAGAGCAGAGCAGUAGAGUUCUCGCAGUGUGGAUCCACCCAGUGGCUGAACAACAAGAAGGAAUGGGUGCCUGGAGUGUCUGGAUGACAGAAACAUGGUAGGAUUGAUCCUAGGAAACGUGCCCACCUCCUUUAGGUGGAAGCGUGGCCUGAUCACCCAUGUGUGCUGGAUUUGGCACUCUUGAACUCGGCUCUCACUCUCUCUCUUUCUAUAACUAACCUUGGAAGUUUUGCUUUUGAUUUCAAUUUAGGUGGAGGGAGGAGUACGAUUGUGUGAGUGAUUGGAGGGGUCCAACUGGACUUGCCACCCGUGAAAUGUGGGGGCUGCAGGCCCGUUAGAGAGGGCCCAAAGCUCCGAGCGAAUUGUGGGAUAGGUUGGGAUUAGGGGUAAUUGCAUAUGGCUAGAUGGAGGUGCCCUCAUAAUCUAGACAUUGUGAGGGGAGUAACGAGCUCUCCAAUGCCAAGUGGCAUCUGAAACAUUCCCAAGAGGGAGAUGAUUCUACCGGCCUGAAGUGAAAGUAAAACAGAGAGUGUGUCAGGUCGUACUGGGUGGGGGAAACUGGGGGAGGAGUGUGAUUGUAUGAGUGAUUGGAGAGGUCCAACUGGACGCACCAGCUGUGAAAUGCAGGAGCAGCAGGUCCUUUUGCGAGGUCCUUAAGCUCCAAGUGACUUGUGGGACCAGUUGGGAUUAGGGGCGAUGUGCAUACGGCUAGAAAGAGGUGCCCUUGCAAUCUAGGUAUUGUGAGGGGAGUAAUAAACUUUCCAAUGCUAAGCAGCGUCUGAAACACUCCCGAGAGGGAGACAAUCCUACUGGCCUGGAGCAAAAGUGAAAAAGAGUUUGUCAUGCCAUGCUGGGCAGGAGAAACUGAGGGUGGAGUAAAAUUCUCUUAACUGUCUGUGAGGACUGUUUUUCUGUGCAAAAACAUGGAUCACACUCAUAGCAAGCCUACUCCUGUAAGGACUGUGCUGAAAAAUUUCAAGAAGAGAUUUAGUGGGAAUUAGGGAGUAACUAUGACGCCAGGAAAGCUGAGGACCUCAUGUGAGGUAGACUGGCCAGCAUUUGGGGUGGGUUGGCCCUCAGAGGAGAGCCUAGACAGGUCUCUUGUCUCCAAAGUAUGGCAUAAGGUUACAUGCAGCAAGCCAGGAUACCCUGAUCAAUUUCCGUACAUAUAUUCAUGUCUGCAGCUUGUACUAAAACCCCCACAGUGGCUGAGAGGACAGGCAGCAACCGUACUGAUAGCAAAGGGACAGGCAGCUAGGGAAAUAUCCUGCUCCACCCCCCAAGGGACACAGACUCCUAAUGUCCUGGCAGAUCCAGCUGCAGAGGAGUCUUUGCCGAUGAUAACCCCUCCCCCUGGUCUGGAGAAAGAACUCCUCACCCCUGGGCCUGAAACCUCAGCACCCCUGCCAGAAUUGCAUGCCCCUAAACAGCCCAGGAUAGACAAGAGAGAAUGUGGGGGGACUCCUCCCACAGCCGCCCACUUCCUGGGAGGAAGUCCUCCUACAAUAGCCUGCCUGUGACCCAAGGCAGGGGUACAGAUGCCUUUAAGAGGGCAGAGGUAUAUGGGAAUGGAUGAGGAUGGCCACAUGGUGGAAAGGCGUGUUUUUACAUACCUGCCGUUCACCUCAGCUAAUCUUAUCAACUGGAAAAAUAACACCCCAUCUUACAACAAGAAGCCACAAACUCUCAUUGACCUAUUGCAAACUAUCAUCCAAACUCAUAACCCCACUUGGGCUGACUGCCACCAGCUACUUAUGUAUCUUUUUAACAUGGAUGAAAGGUGGAGAGUACGCCAAGCUGCUUCCAAAUGGUUGUGGCGGAGUAUGUUCCAGCAGAUUACCAGAGCCCCAAGAGUAUGUCAGGGUCCAGUCACCGCACACUGACCCCCAGUGGGAUCCAAACACCCAAGAGGACAUGCAAAGGCUAAUCUGGCACAGAGAAGCCUCACUAGAAGGACUGAAAACGGGGCCCAGAAAGCUACAAACAUCAAUAAAGUCUCUGAGGUUAUUCAAGGGAAAGAGAAAAGCCCAGCAUAGCUCUAUGAGAGGCUGUAUGAAGCAUAUCGCAUGUAUACUCCUUUCGAUCCUGAGAGCCCCGAAAACCAAUGCAUACGGAAAAUAUGGCAUUAGUCAGUUAGUGUGUAGAAGACAUUAGGCGAAAGGUACAGAAGCAGGCAGGAUUUGCAGGCGUGAAUACUUCACCAUUCUAGGAAAUAACUAACCAGGUGUUUGUGAACAGAGAUGCAGUAAGCCGUAGGGAAAGCUGUAGAGAAAAUGAGCAUCAAACUCGAUGCAGCACUGACUUGAUAGCUGCCGCUAUUAGAGGAGCGCCCCCAGAAGGGCGGGGAAAGGGGGGCUCCUGGAGGGCUGCCCAGUCUAAUCGCCUGCACCUGCAGCAUAACCAGUAUGCGUACUGUAGGGGAGUGGGACACUGGAAGGACAAGUUCCCCCAGUUGACAGGAAAACAGGGAGAUCUUGAGCACGAGGCUUUAGAUAAAAGUGAAGGAGCUCUGUUCAAUCUAAUGGAAGGGCCACUGGACUGAAGGGGGCCAGGCUCAAUUGCCCCCAAAUAGCCCAUGGUCAAGAUGACAGUCCUGUAAUCCCCCCUAUCAAAGGAAACAGCCAAUAUUGUUGGAGCUACUGAAGUGUCAGAGAAACAGUCUUUCUGUUUGCCUUGGACUUGUGAGGUGGAGGGGCACGAGGUGAUUCACCAGUUCUUAUACAUGCCCUAUUGCCCUUUGCCCCUGCUAGGAAGGGAUCUGCUCAGUAAGCUACGGGCAGCCAUCACCUUCACCAAGAGUGGCUCUUUAUGGCUGGCAUUGCCUAAAACUGGAGUCAUAAUGGCCUUCAGGGUGCGUCAUGAAGAAGUAUGGAGGCUCUUCUUAACCAAACCAGACCAGGAGAUAGAACCCACAUUAGCAAAACGAUGGCCUAAGGUCUUGGCAGAAGACAAUCCACCAGGGCUGGCAAUCAGCCAGGCCCCUGUGCUCAUUGAAGUCAAGCCUGCGGUUCAGCCGGUUAGGCAAAAGCAAGAUCCAGUUCCCUGGGAGGCCCUAGAAGGCAUGCAGGUCCACCUAAAACACUUAAAGGACUACGGAAUUAUAGUUCCUUGCCAGUCUCCAUGGAACACCCCCGACUUGCCUGUUCCUAAACCAAGGACCAAAGACUAUAGGCCAGUGCAGGACCUGUGUUUGGUUAAUGGACUUAAAGGAUGCUUUCUUUAUCAUUGGACUGGCCUCAGAGGGUCAAAAACUAUUUGCUUUUCAAUGGAAAAAUCCAGAAACAGGUGUAACCACUUAGUACACCUGGACCUGGCUACUACCCCCAGUGGUUCAAGAACUCUCUCACCAUCAUUGGGAAGGCAUUAGCCCAUGACCUCCAGAAGUUUCCUGCUAAGGGCUUAGGCUGCGUGCUGCUCCAAUAUGCUAAUGGCCUUUUACUGGCACACUCCACGGCAGUUGGGUAUGCUAAAGGAACAAAUGCCUUACUUUGGCACCUGGAGGACUGUUGGUAUAAAGUGUCUAAAAAGAAAGCCCAGAUUUGCUGACAGCAAGUUUGAUAUCCGGGGUUCACCAUCCAGCAGGGAGAGCACAGCCUAGGAGCAGAGAGGAAACAAGUCAUUUGCAACCUGCCAGGACCCGAAAUUAGAAGGCAGGUGAGAGAGUUCCUGGAGCCAUGGGUUUCUGUAAACUGUGGAUUCCAAACUUCAAGGUACUAGCCAAACCCCUUUAUGAAGUCACUGAGUGGGGACAAAUAAAGAGGGACAGAUCCAGCUGCCAGAUGGAACAGUAGCAGUGCCACAGCUAUUGGGGGCUGCAGUUGUACAGGCCGUACACAAAACCACUCAAUUAGGUCAAGAGUCACUUGAGAAGUUGUUAGGCCAGUAUUUUUACAUUGCACGCUUACAGCCCUGACCAAAACUGUGGCGCAGCAAUGCAUUACAUGUCGGCACCACAAUGUGAGGCAAGGUCCAACUAUUGCCCCUGGCAUCCAAGCUACGGCGCAGCUCCAUUUGAAGAUCUCCAGGUAGAUUUCACUGAAAUGCCCAAGUGUGGGGGGCAUAAGUAUUUGUUUGUCCUGGUGCGCACAGACUCUGGGUGGGUAGAAGCCUUCUGGACUAGGACUGAAAAGGCCCAUGAAGUAACCCGUGUGCUUCUUCGAGAUCUCAUCCCUAAGUUUGGACUGCCACUGUGCACUGGCUCAGACAACGGACCAGCAUUUGUGGCAGAUUUGGUCCGGAAAACAGUGAUGGCAUUGGGUACUACUUGGAAGCUGCACGCUUUACCAACCACAGAGUCCCGGAAAGGUGGAGUGGAUGAACCGGACCAUUAAGAAUAGCUUAGGGAACAUGUGUCAGGAAACAAGAUUAAAGUGGGUGCAGGCACUUCCCUCAGUGUUAUUCAAAAUCAGAUGUACUCUUUCUAAGAAGACAGGAUAUUUCCCCUAUGAAGUCUUAUAUCAUAGGCCCCCUCCUAUACUGCGGGCACUCCCAGGAACUCCUCGGGAGUGGGGAGAAAUUGAGCUAGGAUGACAGCUACAAGCUGUAGGAAAAAUCACUCAGGACAUUUCAACCUGGGUAAAUGAAAGAGGCCCUGUAAGCUUAUUCUCCCUGGUUCACCCUUUCUCAACAGGUGAUCGCAUGUGGAUAAAAGACUGGAAUGUAGUCCCUCUGAAGCCACGGUGGAAAGGACCCCAGACCAUGAUCCUGACCACUCUCACAGCCAUAAAGGUAGAGGGAAUCCCAGCCUGGAUCCACCACAGCCGUGAAACCUGCAGCAACUUGGGAAGGUAGACCUAGACCCAGACAACAACUGCAGAAUCACCUUAAGGAGGACAACCAUCCUUGCUCCAGCCACAUCCUGGAGGCUGGCUGGUCCACGCAUGGCCAAAGCAUAAGGAAAUUCAUUGUGGGACUUAUUCUCCUUAAAAAUUUGGAUUUACAUAGUAGGGAUAUUAACUGACUUCGGAGAAUGUUAGUGUGUGUACCAGGUUACUGAGGUAGGAAGGAAAGUUGCUGUCCUUUUGUUCUACAGUUAUUAUCAAUGUGCAGGGACACAAAAAGGAACCUGUUUAUAUAAUGGUACUCAGUAAAAGGUGUGUAGCCCAGGGGAUGGACAACCUGAUAUCUGCUACGAUCCAUCAGAACCCCUAUGCAUACAACUUUUGAAAUUAAACUCCUAACAGGGCAAUGGAACAGCCCUACUAAGUUAAUAGCUAAAAUACAGGAUCAGGAAAAUGAGAAUGAGAGUAAGAAUGAGAACUCUCACUAAUGUUAUAGGUGAGAUUCUCAAAGUUGGGAGUGAGGAAGGAGACCCUUAAUCCUCUUAAGCUUCUAAGAGCCCUUCCCCCUAGACUUCUACAUUGCAUUUCAAUAGGAGAAAUAAAGGCCUGAAGACCUGGGCUCCACCCUUAAUCGCACUCCUAUAGACCGCAAGCAUGGUAUGGAGGAAUCUUUCUGGAAGGUGUUGUUUUUACUUAAACAUGAUCACACCCCCACCUAAGUCACAUGCCCCACACCUACUUAAUGGAUCAAUACCUUUUAACAUUGUAAUUUCUAAAGUUGUAAGCCCAAGACCCUUUCAUAUGUAAUUUCUAGAGUUGUAAGCCUUUUAAAAGGCAGGGAUUUUCUGUGUUAGGGGAGCUCAGCUGUUAGGCAUCUAUACCUCCACAGUCCUGGCAGAAUAAAUCAUCACUUCCUUCCCAGUUUGGUGUUCGAGAGGUUUGUUUUGCGACCUUUCCUGCUCCCAUCCCACUUAGUUUUCCUAACAGCCUAUGAAAUAUGUACUAUUAUUCCCUAUUUUGGUACUGAAAAAAAACAAAAUAUCUCAGAAAUGAAGAGAUUAAGCACAGGAUUUGCCCAAGGUCAGACAGCUAUCAAUGCUGGAGCUGAUGGGGCAAUUCCCCAGCCUGAACUUUUAAUAAUUGUAGUAUACUACCUCCUCCUGCCAGAGGCUAACAUCAGGUUUUCAACUCUCAUCCCUGUCAGGAAAAGGAAAAAGAAAAUUAAUAUUCACUGCUGACGCUUCAAGCGAAAGGUUGAAAAAAGUGAUUCAGGCAGUAAUCUCAUUCUCAACAGUUUUAUAGAGAUAUAAUUCAUGUAUUUUAUAAUUCACCCAUUUAAAGUACACAAUUUUGUGGUUUGUAGUAUAUUCACAGAGUUGUGCAACCAUCACCACCAUUGGUUUUAAAAUAUUUUCAUUAUCCUCAAAAGAAACCCCAUCGCUAUUAGCCAUCAUCCCCCAUUCCUCCAUCUUCCUCAGUCCCACACAGUAUUGACUCUACUUUCUAUGUCUAUAUAUUUGCCUAUUCCAAACUUUCAUAUAGAUAGAAUCAUAUAUUUGGUCUUUUGUGAAUAACUUCUUUCAGUGACUACUGAUGGGGUUCAAGAUAGGCUACCCCAAAAUAUGACUAUAGGAGGCAGAAUAUGCCACCCCAAAAUAUGCAUCUUUAGCAUUAGAAUUGUUUCAAGUUGAUUAUUUGGAGAAACUGCAAAUACAGGAGAAACACUGAAAACAAGAGAAGUUACCCUUUUGUAAAAUAAAUUUACAUCUGUAAAGGAAAUCUCCAUUUGCAGGGGUGUCUCCCUCUCUAUAGCAGGAAGAGAAGGAUGACUCUCAAUCAUUAGAAACUCUUUUAUGUUAUAAAUGGAGAAGGCACCAACUUAAAUCUGCAUAACAAACUUUACCUUUGUUUACUAUGCUUUUCCUGGGUUUCUCCCCAUAACUAGCCUUCCCUUCCAUGCUAUUUAUGCCUGAACUCAAAGCCACUUCUUUGGGAUUUACUUAUAUUCCCUUAGGUAUCCCAUGCACAUAUGAGGUAUAUAUGUUAAUAAACUUCUGUUAUUCUCUUGAUAAUCUGUCUUUGUUAAAAGGGUCUGUCUCAACUAAGAACUCUCAAGGGUAGAGAGGAAAAUUAUUUUUCAGGAUCCCAGUUUUCUAAAUUUGGGUUCAAAGAUGGAACUGGAUUCAAAUGAUAAAAUUAUAUCCAUUUAUAAGAGAUAACAUUAAGUGAAAAAAGUAAUAUACAAAACUCUCUCUAUAUAUAUAGUUAAAACAAACUAAAUAUAGCCCAAGAAGGACUCUGUACUUCUAUAUUUGAGUCCUUAUGGAUGAACUGUAACCUAACUUAAUAGGUAGACAAGAUUGAAAACUUAGGAGUAUGCACCUAUAACAAUCGCUGAGUCUUGGCCAAUCCCAGCAGCCAUACUUCAACCAGUCAUACACUACUGAGGGUUCACGCUGUGUUCAAAUAAGACAAAUGUUGUACCAAUCCAGCUGUUUCUGUACCUCACUUCUGAUUUCUGUAUAUCACUUAACUUUUUUUUUGGUCUAUAAAUUUGUUCUGACCACAAGGCAUCCCUGGAGUGUUUGAAUCUACUGUGAUUCUGGGGGCUGCCGGAUUCACAAAUCAUUCAUUGUUCAAUUAGACUCCUUUAAAUUUGAUUCAGCUGAAGUUUUUGUUUAAACAAAUGGUGUUCAGAAGUGGAGUCUAAAGUACAGCUUCUAACGACCCCCAGGAGUGCUGAGUGAACAAGUAAGGUGCCUGCAGGACCCACCUGUGUCCUUUAAUCUCUCAGAGGGGCUGGGGAGCAUUAAGUAUUUUCUUGGAUUUCAGAACCCCACGGAUUUGCGUUUUCAGCUCUCCGAGUUUCUUUGAGAGCAAAUUUCUGAUCCAAACUAGGUUUGGAAGUCAUGACAGAAACUGGGCUGGGUCCAGAAAUGGAUUUGAUCCGGUAACUAACUGGCUGGGAUCCAGUUAGAGGCCUCUUACAUCUGACUGGGUCAGAAAGAAACUGACAGCAAAUGGUAAUAUUUUAGGGGUAUAAAAUUUGGCUCUUAAAGAUUUGCAAGGAUUUUUUUUUCAACCCCUUUGUUUCAUUUUUCUUGCCCACUUAGGUAGGAAAAAUCAUUGGCUAAGUUAAUCAAGGGAAUCUGAGAGCAAAGCCAAUGUUUUAUGUAAAGAUGGGAUCUUUAAUUUCUGAAAAACUGAGUUCCUUCUGGCUUAUACAUUAGGCACAGGAGGCAGCAAAGUCUUACAGAAAAUGGCGAAAUCUUAGUAAAGGUAACUUACAGUAGAACAUUCUGAAUAAACAACAAUGCACUGAACUGCAUUUACAAAUGAGAGCCCCCCAAAAUUAUAUCUGCUAUUCUUUCAGCUUAGUUACUAUCCUGAUCCAAAGGAAACAGACCACAGCACCAAUUGGCUCACUUUGGAUAAGUAAUGGGGUACAUUUUAACUGAGUAAAAGAUGGGAUUGCAGUAGAGUUCCUUCCCUCAGUAAAGUCCUUCUUGGUUGAAAAUGGAAUAAAGGUGACAGGGUCCAACCAGGGGUAAGUUUGAGGCUUGCCAGUUCAAUAUUGGGUGCCAGGCAGAGUGGCUAAUGUCUAGGUUUAGUCACACGUAUUUUGCUCUGGCCAGAAUGAAAAAUGUUAAUUGGGUUAUGCCAUGUAACCCCUUAGGUGGCAACCUGUAAAACUGAGAGGCUUUUGCCUAAGGAACAAAAAAUAUGAUUUUCCUUUAUGAUGCGGCUUGGCCCCCAGGGUUAUAGUGUGGCAAGCAGGGUCACUAGGGCCUCUCUGGGAAAAAGAACCCAGAAGUCUGGCCUGCCGGCAAAAGGGUUAACAAUUUCUUACCAGUCAGACUCUGACCUUUCUCUUUCCGUGCAAACUCGUUAAAUGAAUUGUAAAAGUUACUGUUUAUCUCCUCUAUAAAGUUUGGAUUAAUACAAAAAAAGACAUCCGAGGCUGGUCUUAAGCUGUAGUGAAUCUGGUGGGCUUUGCGUCUUUCUGUAUUGUUCUGUCAUAAAGAGGGGUACCUCAGGCUAAAAUGUGUGCCUAGGGCCCCAUAAGUCUGCUGUUCAAGACGGCCCAGAAAACUGGUCAGUUAUGUCCUUGGAGCUCGACCCUGUAACCACGUGGUGUGCUUUCUCUUUUCAAAAUGGCAGCCCAGGUUCAGGGCUCACUUCCUGGCUUAGGGAAUGAGUAUUUUCUGGUUUGAGAUCUGCGUGACCUUAACCAUUGAUUCUCUUUCCCUCCAUGAACCGUCUUAAAUUUUCUUUUUCUGAGCACAGAAAUUGGCCAUUUGGCCUAGCCAAAGUUGGGUAAUAAAAGAUUUAAAAUGACUUUUUUAAAAAAAGUGCUAUGGUUAAACGUCAGCUUAAUUAAAAGCAGAUAUUCAAGCUCUAACAGCCUGGGACUCCUUGGGAAAAACAGGGGGUGCCAGAGACCCUGUUUUGGGGGGAAAAAAACAAAACCUAUUUUCCUCAUGGAACCCCAGGAAUUGGAAAUGGAUAGAUCCACCCAAAAUCUAAGGCUCUGUUCUCUUUGGGAUCCAGGAACUGGUAUAAAAAUGGGGCCCUUAAUUUCUGGAGACCUGUUUUGCCUUCCAGCUGUGCCUGCUUAUUACAUUGGACCCUAGAAACUACAUGCUGUCCUGGCCCUGUUCUUCUAAGGACUCUACCCUAAAGCCAGUAAUCCAAUUUAAGAAAAUUUAAAAACUGGCAAAUGAAAAAUCUUACAACUACUGGAUCCUCUUUGUAGUAUAUAUGUAUUGUAUAUGUAAUGUUUAUAUGAAACAGCUCUAAUUAAUAGGCUUUAAGAAGAAUAAGUGCCUAAAUAUUUUGUUAGAAAAGUAAAAACUGUAAUGUUUUAGUUCAUAUAACUUUAGUGAUCUUUGGGAAACAAAAACUGCUUCCUACACUUUUGAAAAUUGUUCAGUUUACCUACUUUGGAGCAUUAGAUUGUAGAUAAGGUCUGGAGACAUGUGGAAUUAGCCAUGCCCCCUAGCUAUGCAAAGAAGGUUAUAAAGAAAUGAGAUUUUAUAUAAGAAAGGAUUUUGUAUGGGUAAUUCUUGUCCUAAAGUAAAAUAACUGGUUGUUUAAAAAGAGGGAUGUUUAGGAUAAGUCAGAAAAUCCACGCAUGAUGCAGAUGGCUGUGUUACGUAAUCAAAGGAUUCACGAAAGGACAUUUAUGCACCAAAAGCAAAAGUUGCUAAGAGUUACCAUUAUAACAUGUGAUUGAGACUACUGAAAAAAUAGUUUUACAUGCAAGGUGUGUGAGUAGAACGAAAUGUGUAUUUAGUGAGAUUAUAAGGCAUGGGAAUGUAAAUUUCUGCCUAGUUUAGAGGGUUAAAGGAUUGUUUUAAAUUAGAUAAGAAUAAGCUAAAAGUUUGAACAAGUUGUAAAAGGUUUGUAAAAAUUAAUCUUGUAAAAAAAUUCUGUGUAUGAACACACUGACUAAAUUUAAAACAGUAUUUUCCAGUUUUUUCAUAAAUUGAAUACAGAAAUAAAAGCAAAAACAGCGUUUUGUAAAGCACUGAUCUGCUCUUUAACAAAAAUUUGUAAAGGGCUAUAAAAGGUUUAUGAGAAUCUCACCUUAUGGACAAACUGAUUAAGAUUGGAAAGAUAUGUCUAUAAGAUAUUAUUAAAAAUUGGAGUUGAUUUGUCUAUAAGGUUUUACUAAAAAUUAAUACUACAGUAAUGCAAGAGUGAAAUUUGGCUUUCUCUUUUGAACAAGAUUUUCAUGUAAUAUUAAAAGAUAAUGAAAGAUUUUUGUUUGCCUUUUAAAUAAACUACCAAAAAGGGGUGAGUGGAAAGAGAGAGAUUGGAAAGUUAAGUCUUCACUCUAUCAAUGAGUAAAUGUUUUUAGCUUUUAAAAAACUUUUGACUCAUCAUUUUGGCUAAAUGAAUGACUUAUGGCAACCUAGAAUUCUAUUUCAUAAUGUCAAGUGUUUUAAACCUUUAACAUAUUUGACAGGGUACCAAAAUCAAAUUUCAGCUUCAAAACUGUCUUUUCUUUCCUCUAACACUGAAAUGCUACAGAGGGCCCCUAAAGCAUCCAAAAGAGAGGUAAACAGAUUUGACAUGUUACAUGGGAAGCAUUAUCAAAAAAUAAAAAAAAGUUUAAUCUUCUUCAGAUUGUAUUUUAGUGAAUGAUAUUAACAUAUGUUCCAAAAUUGUAUGGGAUCUCUAAAAUUCUAAUAUGUCUGAGUAUGUGCUAUCAUUCAAAAUACUACUAUUUUAUGUUGUUAUUGUAGAACACAGAAAUAACCAAAUUUCCUUCUCAAUUGUGUUUUUAUCUAUAACUAUUUAAAGUCAUUUCCACAGUUAAUUGCUUAAUGCUGAUGUAGUUUCUGAAAACUUCACGAGCACACAAAAUCCUAGAAUAUGGUGUCUUUUAGGAGGUUCAUCAAAGGAUGAAAAUGACCCUAAAAAGCACUCCUAAAUACAGGUUUCUAAUAACUUUAGAAUCAUAUCAUUUGAACUGAGUAAGGAUUCCUGGAACUUUAAUGAAAAGACUGACUGGGUUAUAAAACUGCUAACCCAAGCAGAACAAAAAUUAAUUAAAUACCAAGAAAAUACUUUGGCUGGGUGCGGUGGCUCACGCCUAUAAUCCCAGCACUUUGGGAGGCCG